UAAGGAAUAUUGGUCAAUGGAGGCAACUCUGAACCAGCCAUGCCGCGUGAAGGAUUAAGGCCCUCUGGGUUGUAAACUUCUUUUAUAUGGGAAGAAAUGUUCUGAUUCUUCAGAGAUUGACGGUACCAUAGGAAUAAGCACCGGCUAACUCCGUGCCAGCAGCCGCGGUAAUACGGAGGGUGCAAGCGUUAUCCGGAUUCACUGGGUUUAAAGGGUGCGUAGGUGGGCAGAUAAGUCAGUGGUGAAAUCUUCCGGCUUAACCGGAAAUUUGCCGUUGAUACUAUUUGUCUUGAAUAUUGUGGAGGUAAGCUGAAUAUGUCAUGUAGCGGUGAAAUGCUUAGAUAUGACAUAGAACACCAAUUGCGAAGGCAGCCUACUAUAUAAUUAUUGACACUGAGGCACGAAAGCGUGGGUAGCGAACA
rnacentral:rRNA from 1 species